rnacentral:rRNA from 1 species
GGGGAAUAUUACACAAUGGGCGAAAGCCUGAUGCAGCAACGCCGCGUGAACGAUGAAGGUCUUCCGAUCGUAAAGUUCUGUUGCAGGGGAAGAUAAUGACGGUACCCUGUGAGGAAGCCCCGGCUAACUACGUGCCAGCAGCCGCGGUAAUACGUAGGGGGCUAGCGUUAUCCGGAUUUACUGGGCGUAAAGGGUGCGUAGGUGGUCCUUCAAGUCGGUGGUUAAAGGCUACGGCUCAACCGUAGUAAGCCGCCGAAACUGGAGGACUUGAGUGCAGGAGAGGAAAGUGGAAUUCCCAGUGUAGCGGUAAAAUGCGUAGAUAUUGGGAGGAACACCAGUAGCGAAGGCGGCUUUCUGGACUGCAACUGACACUGAGGCGCGAAAGCGUGGGUAGCAAACAGGAUUAGAUACCCUGGUAGUCCACGCUGUAAACGAUGAGUACUAGGUGUCGGGGUUACCCCCCUCGGUGCCGC